CGAAGAUUAAUUACAAUUAAUCAUCUUUAGAAUGUUUGGAAUUAAACAGAAAUGUUUCGUUUAAAUUUCUCACUGUUAACGAGUUAAAACAUUCUAAAUUGAUGAUAAAUUUAUCUUCUUACCUAUUCUGCUUUUUUAAUUUUUAUUUUACUAUUCAGCAACGAAUUUUAUUGUCUUUAGAGAGAGACAGAAACCAUUUAAAAUCUUAAUUAAGAACUAAAAUGUGGUACUGAUACUUAAAAAUUUCUUUUAAUAUCUUUCGGUCGUUCAACUUUAUUUUCUAAAUUCGUAUUAUAUACCGAGUUUAGAAAUGUUUUGGCGCGUAAAAUCAACAUCUUUCUUUAUAUGUCUUAAGGGUAAGAAGACAGAAGGAAAAGGAGAGAUGUGCGUUGCCUUGGUGAUAUAGUCAUGUGACUAAGGCGUCCACUUCAACGUUCCUGCCUCUCUGAUAAUAAGCCUGAUCUUGAGAGCUUUGCUGAAUGGAGAAGUAAUGCUGACAUCUCCUGAUUUUCGCUGCGCAUUGAUGCUUACAUACAUAUGCGGACGAAACGCUAAUUGGUUACUCCAUUUGUUAAACUAUUCAAAAAUGAAGACACGACUAUAUUUAUUCUUAAUUCUUCUCUACCAAAGGACGUAUAUCUCUAUUAUAAUUUAUGUGUUCCCAUUUAAUCAAGCAUCUCUGACGUGCAGUUGUAGAAAAAAAUAAAAAUAAAAAAAAUCUCUUAUAUCUUAUUUAUGAAACGUUAAAGGAAAGUCGAUUUAGUUUCUAUAAAAGUUUUAUAAAAGAAAAUAUAUAACUAGGCUCGUUUAUAUAAAUAACUGAAUUUUCUUUUUUAUUUUUAACCAAUCUAAAGGCACUGAAAUAUUAUUAUUAUUAUUUUUUUG
rnacentral:lncRNA from 1 species